CAUUGCUGUGAUGAGAUGAGAGUCUUCAAAGUUCAUCGCCGAGCUUGAGCCACUAAUCACCGAUUUGGAGCCACCAUUUACAAAUCUGGAGCAACUGUUCAUUGAUUUAGAUCCACCAUUUGUUGAUUCGCUGAUCUCAACAAAUUUUAGCAUGGAUAGUGAAGUGUCUAGUUCUCGUAAAAAAGUAAAGGAGAAAGUUGAUCCGUCAAAACCAAGGCGAUUAUGGAGCCCACGAGAAGAGCAAUAUCUUAUUAAUGCCUUGAUGCACAUUGUCAACAAUGGAAUGAAAUAGGACAAUGCCUUCAAGGCCGGCUACCUUGUGAAAUUAGAGGAGAAAUUGUUGGAGAUGCUACCCGGGACAAACCUUCACGACACUCCCCACAUCGAAUCAAAGAUAAAGCUAUGGAAGAAGCACUACAAUUGUGUAUGCAACAAGAAUGCUUGGUACCAGUGGUUUUGGGUGGAAUGACACCGAAAAAAGAAUUGAUGUUGAGAGUGAUAGUGUCUGGGAAGCAUAUGUUCGGAGGGAGAGGGAUGCGAAAAACCUAUGAAACAAAAGUUUUCCAUAUUUCGACUCAUGGAUCCACAUAUUUGGUAAGGAUCGAGCUACGAGGGAGUUUGCUGAAGGGCCUGCUGAUGCAGUUGAUGCUAUAAAUGCUGAGGAAGAAUUGUUGUUCAACUGUCUUGCAGAUGAUGGCACAUUUCUUGAACAUAAGGGUAUUAGUAGUCAUAUCGACGAGGGAAUAAAUUGCUCCAACUCAUCAAGUCAACGACCACCUGAAAGUUCUACAAAAAAGAAUGACAACAAGAAGAGGCUUAGAGGCAAUGAUGAUGUAGUGGAAGGGUUGUCCAUGAUUGCUAACAAGUUGGGUGAGGUAUUGAUGACAAACUAAGGUGGGUGAUGAGGUUGCUGCGUAGGAGUGCUCCAUGAUAGACUCGUGGCUCUUUUAUGUCCUUCUACGUACUUAGUUUUUUUUAUUACUCUAAUGCAUGUAAUAAGGACUUGACUUUUUGCUACUUUUUUUUGUUGAACUACUCAUAUUUUGCUACUUCAUGUUGCAAUAUGCUACUUGGAAUGCUUAUUUUGAAAUGAUGAAUGGUAGAUUUAUAUUUCUACAA